CGCGAAACCUUUACACUGCACGACAGUGCGAUAGGGGAACUCCGAGUGCGAGGGCAUAGAGCCCUCGCUUUUCUGCACCGUAAGGUGGUGCAGGAACAAGUGCUGGGCAAGACCGGUGCCAGCCGCCGCGGUAAUACCGGCAGCACGAGUGAUGGCCGAUCUUAUUGGGCCUAAAGCGUCCGUAGCUGGCCGUGCAAGUCCGUCGGGAAAUCCAGUGGCUCAACCUCUGGGCUUCCGGCGGAAACUGCUCGGCUUGGGACCGGAAGACUCGAGGGGUACGUUCGGGGUAGGAGUGAAAUCCCGUAAUCCUGAACGGACCACCGAUGGCGAAAGCACCUCGAGAGCACGGAUCCGACAGUGAGGGACGAAAGCUAGGGUCUCGAACCGGAUUAGAUACCCGGGUAGUCCUAGCUGUUAACGAUGCCCGCUCGGUUCGGCGCAGGCUACGAGCCUGUGCCGCGCCUCAGUGAAGACGUAAGCGGGCCGCCUGGGAAGUACGUCCGCAAGGAUGAAACUUAAAGGAAUUGGCGGGGGAGCACUACAACCGGAGGAGCCUGCGGUUAAAUUG
rnacentral:rRNA from 1 species